rnacentral:rRNA from 2 species
GGACUACCCGGGUAUCUAAUCCCGUUUGCUCCCCUGGCCUUCGUGUCUCAGUGUCAGGAACUGUCCAGAGACCCGCCUUCGCCACUGGUCUUCCUUACGAUAUCUACGCAUUUCACUGCUACACCGUAAAUUCCAGUCUCCUCUCCAGUCCUCAAGCACCGCAGUAUGGAAUGCAGUUUCGGAGUUAAGCUCCGAAAUUUCACACCCCACUUACGGCGCCACCUACACACCCUUUACGCCCAAUGAAUCCGAACAACGCUUGAGACCUCUGUAUUACCGCGGCGGCUGGCAC